rnacentral:rRNA from 1 species
AUCGAUGAAGAACGCAGCGAAAUGCGAUAAGUAAUGUGAAUUGCAGAAUUCAGUGAAUCAUCGAAUCUUUGAACGCACAUUGCGCCCUCUGGUAUUCCGGAGGGCAUGCCUGUUCGAGCGUCAUUUGCUAAACUCAAGCCUACUUGUAGGCCUGGUCUUGGGUGCUGUCAUCUCUGGAUGACACACCUCAAAUGCAACGGCGACACUGCCUGGCUUCAAGCGUCUAGGAAACUUCAUCGCUUCUGUCAGAUAAAUGUCUGCCUCUCAACCCCAAUUUUUAUUCUGGGUUGACCUCGGAUCAGGUAGGGAUACCCGCUGAACUUAAGCAUAUCAAUAAGCGGAGGAAAAGAAACCAACAGGGAUUGCCCCAGUAACGGCGAGUGAAGCGGCAUCAGCUCAAAUUUGAAAUCUGGCGUCUUCGGCGUCCGAGUUGUAAUUUGUAGAGAGUGUCUCGGGUGGAGCACCGGUCCAAGUCCCUUGGAACAGGAUAUCAUAGAGGGUGAGAAUCCCGUAUCCGGCCGGUCCCCUCCCCCGCUGUGAGACCUCUUCGACGAGUCGAGUUGUUUGGGAAUGCAGCUCUAAAUUGGAGGUAAAUUCCUUCUAAAGCUAAAUACUGGCCAGAGACCGAUAGCGCACAAGUGGAGUGAUCGAAAGAUGAAAAGCACUUUGAAAAGAGAGUUAAACAGUACGUGAAAUUGUUGAAAGGGAAGCGUAUGCGGCCAGACUUGUCCCCAGUUGCUCAGCCCGUCUUUUGGCGGGUGUACUCUUCUGGGGCCAGGCCAGCAUCGGUUUGGGCGGUCGGAUAAAGACGUUAGGAAUGUGGCCCCCCUCGGGGGGUGUUAUAGCCUGGCGUGCAAUGCGAUCAGCCCGGACCGAGGCCCGCGUUCUGCUAGGAUGCUGGCGUAAUGGCCGUAUACGGCCCGUCUUGAAACACGG